rnacentral:lncRNA from 1 species
UAGGGGUGCGCAUCGGUCGGUUCGGUUCGGUUUUAGGUGUUAUUGGUUCGGUUUAUCGGUUUUCGGUUUGUAAAUACUUCAAACCGAUAACCAAACCAAUAACAUAUUUCUUAUCGGUUUUUGGUUAAUCGGUUUAUGGUACUUAACGGUUCGGUUUUCGGUUUAACCAAUAAGAAAAUACUCAUAUAUAUUAUAUACACGAUAAGAAAAUUUUCAAAUAAACCAUAUGAUUUUUCCAGCAUUUGGCAUGAAAGUAAUAAUCAUAAAAGUAACAAUCAUUUUUCUUGCAAGUUUAGACAC